rnacentral:misc_RNA from 1 species
UUUUUAUUAUUUUAUUUAUUGUUAAUUUUAUAAACGAUAAUUAAAAAAACAUAACAGUAACAUAAUUACUAAAGAUCAAAUUUACACCGUCUUAAGCUAUUACUUUUACGAAAAAAAUUCACACUCGUAUAGCCAUUGUUAUAUAAAUUGGUAAAUUUAAAUAUUCUUAAAAAAAAAGAAAAACAAAAUGUCAAAUCGCUUAAAAUACAAGACAGGUAAAAAAUAAAAAAUAAAAAAUUAAUUUGUCCAUCAAAUUAUUUUUCUCGUUCCACACUUCCGUAGGUUUACGUAAACCGCUUAACCGUACGACCGUCUGAGUAGCGGUUUUCCUUCCGUAACUAUUUUUAUCCAAUGUCUUAUUUAAAGUAAAUGCUUUAAAGGUUAGUUUCAAUGGCUAAUACGCAAAGCGUCAUAACUAUAAUAUUUUCAAUUAAAGAUUGAGAUCAAUUAGAAAUAUUAAGUAAUCUCGUAGAUCACAAAAUUAUUUUUUAUUUCAAGUAUCAAUUAUAUUCGUUGUAUUUUUCAUUCUUGUUUGUGAUUUAUUUUUACACUAUAGUGUAAAUACUUGCGUUAUGUUUUAUAUAAAAUAACUUUUGAGGAUGAAUAAAAGUUAUAAAAUAUAUAUUUUCAAGAAAGCUAUCAUAACAAAAGUUCGUAAAUAAAGUUGAACACAGGUCAACAUAUAUAUGUAUGUAUUUAAGACAAAUUGAGAUAUUAUAAGUGUAACUGUGUAACGGAUUAGUUAGAAUGAUUUGUAUAAACGACUAUUUUUGUGAAAUCAUCUAAUCAUUAAAAACAUUAAAUUGUA